UUUUAUGGAGAGUUUGAUCCUGGCUCAGGAUGAACGCUGGCGGCGUGCCUAAUACAUGCAAGUCGAGCGAACGGACGAGAAGCUUGCUUCUCUGAUGUUAGCGGCGGACGGGUGAGUAACACGUGGAUAACCUACCUAUAAGACUGGGAUAACUUCGGGAAACCGGAGCUAAUACCGGAUAAUAUUUUGAACCGCAUGGUUCAAAAGUGAAAGA
rnacentral:rRNA from 1 species